UAGGGAAUCUUCGGCAAUGGACGAAAGUCUGACCGAGCAACGCCGCGUGAGUGAAGAAGGUUUUCGGAUCGUAAAACUCUGUUGGUGGAGAAGAACGUUGGUGAGAGUGGAAAGCUCAUCAAGUGACGGUAACUACCCAGAAAGGGACGGCUAACUACGUGCCAAG
rnacentral:rRNA from 1 species